GGAUCCAGACUUUGAUUAUGGCUCAGGAUGAACGCUAGCUACAGGCUUAACACAUGCAAGUCGAGGGGAAACGACAUCGAAAGCUUGCUUUUGAUGGGCGUCGACCGGCGCACGGGUGAGUAACGCGUAUCCAACCUGCCCACCACUUGGGGAUAACCUUGCGAAAGUAAGACUAAUACCCAAUGAUAUCUCUAGAAGACAUCUGAAAGGGAUUAAAGAUUUAUCGGUGAUGGAUGGGGAUGCGUCUGAUUAGCUUGUUGGCGGGGUAACGGCCCACCAAGGCGACGAUCAGUAGGGGUUCUGAGAGGAAGGUCCCCCACAUUGGAACUGAGACACGGUCCAAACUCCUACGGGAGGCAGCAGUGAGGAAUAUUGGUCAAUGGACGAGAGUCUGAACCAGCCAAGUAGCGUGCAGGAAGACGGCCCUAUGGGUUGUAAACUGCUUUUAUAAGGGAAUAAAGUGAGUCUCGUGAGACUUUUUGCAUGUACCUUAUGAAUAAGGACCGGCUAAUUCCGUGCCAGCAGCCGCGGUAAUACGGAGGGUCCGGGCGUUAUCCGGAUUUAUUGGGUUUAAAGGGAGCGUAGGCCGGAGAUUAAGCGUGUUGUGAAAUGUAGACGCUCAACGUCUGCACUGCAGCGCGAACUGGUUUCCUUGAGUACGCACAAAGUGGGCGGAAUUCGUGGUGUAGCGGUGAAAUGCUUAGAUAUCACGAAGAACUCCGAUUGCGAAGGCAGCUCACUGGAGCGCAACUGACGCUGAAGCUCGAAAGUGCGGGUAUCGAACAGGAUUAGAUACCCUGGUAGUCCGCACGGUAAACGAUGGAUGCCCGCUGUUGGUCUGAAUAGGUCAGCGGCCAAGCGAAAGCAUUAAGCAUCCCACCUGGGGAGUACGCCGGCAACGGUGCAACUCAAAUGAAUUGACGG
rnacentral:rRNA from 1 species